UGCCAAUUGAUAGAAAAGUUCUCUGGAUAGUAAAUUUUUGACAGCUAUGAGGUGAAUAAAAAUGUUUGAUACGGCAGGGCUAGUGAAAAAUUUGACAGCAAGCAUUAUCAAGAAGAAGAACGAACAACGCACGUAUACACAUAAAUUAGAGAAAACAAAAGCGAGUGGAAAUAAAAGAACAUGGUCCCGCCGGCAAAAAAAAAUAAAGAAAAGCUAUAUAACUUGGAGCAGUUCAGAACGCAGAAUCCUUCUGGAAAAGCGCAUUGACAAGGAUGUUUGGUUCA